rnacentral:rRNA from 1 species
UGGGGAAUUUUGGACAAUGGGCGCAAGCCUGAUCCAGCCAUUCCGCGUGCAGGAUGAAGGCCCUCGGGUUGUAAACUGCUUUUGUACGGAACGAAACGCGCUGAGUUAAUACCUCGGCGUAAUGACGGUACCGUAAGAAUAAGCACCGGCUAACUACGUGCCAGCAGCCGCGGUAAUACGUAGGGUGCGAGCGUUAAUCGGAAUUACUGGGCGUAAAGCGUGCGCAGGCGGUUAUGUAAGACAGAUGUGAAAUCCCCGGGCUUAACCUGGGAACUGCAUUUGUGACUGCAUAGCUAGAGUACGGUAGAGGGGGAUGGAAUUCCGCGUGUAGCAGUGAAAUGCGUAGAUAUGCGGAGGAACACCGAUGGCGAAGGCAAUCCCCUGGACCUGUACUGACGCUCAUGCACGAAAGCGUGGGGAGCAAACAG